rnacentral:lncRNA from 1 species
UCCAGAAUGACCUGUGUGCAGCAGGUCCAGGAAACCCUUUGAACAAACAAGAAUAGAGAAUCAGGGACCCAGUAGAAUGUCAGGAAAGAAGAGAGGAAUAGAUUCUGAGAAAUAUACAAAAAGAGGCUGGAAGAUAUUAGGAAUAUGGUGAAGAGGCCUGUGCUUCUUUCCAAAGCAAAUGAAAUAAUCAGAAACACCAAAAGAGAAGGAGGAAGAAAAAAACCUUUGAUAAGAAGUUAAUGCAGCCUGGGCAACAUGUUUCCUGGUUGAAGGAUUAAUUAUCUGCUACCUGAUCUAAAGUUGAUAAAUGAAAAACAUCAGUAUUAACACAUGACAUGGAAAAAACACCAGAGGAGAAAAAACCACCAAAGGAAGAAAAACAAAAACUGUGAACAGUGAUGUCUCACCGGGGGUGGGAGCACAGCAGCAGACAUUUGUCAAAACUCACCCAACUCUAUAAUUUAAAUGUGUACAUUUUAUGGUAUAUAAAUGAUUCCUCAAUAAAGUUGAUUAAUCCAAA